rnacentral:rRNA from 1 species
CAGCCGCCACGGUAAUACGGAGGUCCCGAGCGUUGUUCGGAAUCACUGGGCGUAAAGGGAGCGUAGGCGGCGUGGUAAGUCAGAUGUGAAAUCCCGGGGCUCAACCCCGGAACUGCAUCCGAUACUGCCAUGCUAGAGGAUUGGAGAGGUAGCUGGAAUUCUUGGUGUAGCAGUGAAAUGCGUGGAGAUCAAGAGGAACACUCGUGGCGAAAGCGAGCUACUGGACAAUAACUGACGCUGAGGCUCGAAGGCCAGGGUAGCGAAAGGGAUUAGAUACCCCGGUAGUCCCUGUCUCUUAUAC